rnacentral:lncRNA from 10 species
GCUAAAUCUGGUGACCAGCCAGAGCCUGGUCACCCCUGCAUGGAGUAGGAGUGAAGCUUAUGAAAAGGUGAGGUGCCAAACACACAGAGGAGAACACGGAGGAGGCCAUAUUGUAAUAAAGAGGACGUAGAAAUGAAGCAAGCAGUCAGAAGUCACCCCAUAAAACACCUUCCACCCUCUGAGCAUGACCAGCAAAGCGGUUUCUUCUUGCGGACACUGCAUCAGCCCAGCUCAAAGUGCAUUCCAUUCUGAUGAACAUCCACAAACAGUUAUGAAGAAGACCCAAAUGUC